GUCUUAUUGAAUAUAAUUUUAAGUCUAAUCUGCCCAAUGAAUUAUUAAAUGGCUGCAGUAUUUUAACUGUACAAAGGUAGCAUAAUAAUUAGUUUCUUAAUUAGGAACUGGAAUGAAUGAUUGAACGAGAUAAUAACUGUCUUAAUUUAAAUUAAAGAAUUUUAUUUUUAAGUGAAAAAGCUUAAAUGAUAUUAAAAGACGAGAAGACCCUAUAGAAUUUUAUAAGAUUUUAAUAAUUUGUUAAUUGUUUAUGAGAUUAUGAUUUUUAAAAUUUUAUUUGGUUGGGGUGAUUGAAAAAUUUAUUUAACUUUUUUUAAGAUAAGUCAUUUAUUUAUGUUUAUUUGAUCCAAUUUUUUGAUUAUAAGAUUAAAUUACCUUAGGGAUAACAGCGUAAUUUUUUUAGAGAGUUCUAAUCGAUAAAAGAGAUUGCGACCUCGAUGUUGGAUUAAAGUUAAUUUUUAAUGCAGGAGUUAAAAUAUUAGGUCUGUUCGACCUUUAAUACUUUACAUGAUCUGAGUUUAAAUCGGCGUGAGCCAGGUUGGAUUCUAUCUUUAAUUAGUUUAAAUAUUUUAGUACGAAAGGACCUUUUAUUUGUUAUAUUAAUUUUUUAAGAAUAAUA
rnacentral:rRNA from 1 species